GGAGAGAGGCUGUGGCUCAGUGGUAAAGCAUCUGCUUUGCAUUCAAAAGAUCAUGAGCUCAAUUCCCAGCCUUUCCA
rnacentral:tRNA from 1 species